AUAAGGGGUGGGCAAGUCUGGUGUCAGCCGACGCGGUAAUACCAGCACCCCGAGUGGUCGGGACGAUUAUUGGGCCUAAAGCAUCCGUAGCCGGUUUUGCAAGUCUUCCGUUAAAUCCACCUGCUUAACAGAUGGGCUGCGGAGGAUACUACAAGGCUAGGGGGCGGGAGAGGCAAGCGGUACUCAGUGGGUAGGGGUAAAAUCCUCUGAUCCAUUGAAGACCACCAGUGGCGAAGGCGGCUUGCCAGAACGCGCUCGACGGUGAGGGAUGAAAUCUGGGGGAGCAAACCGGAUUAGAUACCCGGGUAGUCCCAGCUGUAAACGAUGCAGACUCGGUGAUGGGCCGGCUUUAUGCCAGCUCAGUGCCGCAGGGGAAGCCGUUAAGUCUGCCGCCUGGGGAGUACGGUCGCAAGACUGAAACUUAAAAGGGAAUUGGCGGGGGAGCACCACAAGGGGUGAAGCCUGCGGUUCAAUUGGAGUCAACGCCGGAAAUCUUACCGGGGGCGACAGCAGAGUGAAGGUCAAGCUGAAGACUUUACCAGACAAGCUGAGAGGAGGUGCAUGGCCGUCGCCAGCUCGUGCCGUGAGGUGUCCUGUUAAGUCAGGUAACGAGCGAGAUCCCUGCUUUUAGUUGCUACCACUACUCUCAGGAGGAGUGGGGCUAAUUAAAAGGACUGCCGCCGCUAAGGCGGAGGAAGGAGGGGGCUACGGCAGGUCAGUAUGCCCCGAAACCCUCGGGCCACACGCGGGCUGCAAUGGUAAGGACAAUGGGUUCCGAUUCCGAAAGGAGGAGGCAAUCCCUAAAC
rnacentral:rRNA from 1 species